CUUGCCUCUGUCCUGGGAGAUAAUUUGAUUACUUCCCAAUUAUCUCCAGGAUGGAGAGAAGGGAUUGUGAUGUCACUGUGGGAGUGUUUUGUUUGUAUUGUCUGUGAUUGGUUAUACUGGGUCCCACCCUAUGGGAUGUCCCCUUGCAUGGGGACUUGCAUAAAAGCCAGUGUGUGGUCAUUAAAACCAGAUCAUCUUGUACCUUUCUUGAAGCCUUGACUCAUGUUUGGGGGAAGGGAUACCUACACUCUGGGGAUUGCUAUAAUCACUUACUCCCCAGAGUAAGCUCUUGCAAUAG